CGCGUAGGCGGCCAUGCGUGUCUUCCGUGAAAUCCCUCGGCUUAACUGAGGACGUGCGGAAGAAACUGCAAGGCUUGAGUCCGGGAGAGGGGGGUGGAAUUCCCAGUGUAGCGGUGAAAUGCGUAGAUAUUGGGAGGAACACCGGUGGCGAAGGCGGCCCCCUGGACCGGUACUGACGCUGAGGCGCGAAAGCGUGGGUAGCAAAACG
rnacentral:rRNA from 1 species